rnacentral:lncRNA from 1 species
GUCUUUUUUGGCGAUUUCCCUUAAAAAUAGCUCAAAAAUUUCAUUUUUUGUUGUUGAGCUUUUGCAAAAAUAAUAAAAAAAAUUGUGCAGUGUGGGUACUGAGCUCCCAAAACAAUUUUUUGUGGGUGCUCAGGCACCCACAAACCCACUUUAGUUGGCGUCCCUGCAGGAGGUUAUUAACAUGAAGAAAGGAUAGAGCCACAUAUAUGAUUUUGGUAUAGCUCCCUUGUGCUUUUGGUACAAAAUGCAAAAAAUUCGGUUUUUACAGUGGGGUGCUACAUUUUCUAUCCCACAAAGAACACUUUUUGAUACAUGCACAAUUCCAGAUUUGCUACUUCAUUUUUAAACACGCAGUUUGUGUGGGCUGAUUCAAUGAAGCCUAAAAGGACAGGUAUAAUCCCUGAUGCAGAUCAUUAGAUAUGUCUGUCCUCAGCUGCUUGGCUUGGCUGGCUCAGCUCACAGAUGACGCGGGAGAGAAGUUGGCACUGGCUGAGCUCCUCUUUAGCUGGAGUGGCUUACUGUGAAAGCAAAAUCAACGGGGUGGAUCUGUUAGUCAUUCUUCCAAUAUGAAGCAGAUGAAAAACAAAGUGGCUGAAGCUGGACUGACACCAUCAGAUGGUGAGUCGUGGUUUUAUUCGGGGCCUACAGAUGUUUUUCUCAGCAAAAAGAAAGCACAGGGAAUGUGUGUUGUCUAUGAUAUUUGUCUACGUAGUGGCCAGUGAGGUGGAGUGAUCUUGCUCACUUGGCUCCAAGAGGUCACUGUCAAUAACUGCGCGGGGUGGGCACAGGGGUGGGCCCAAUCCACUUCUCUCUCUGCAGCACACAGCAGCCGGAGUGGUGGAUUGGCAGCACAAGUACACCGCGCCAACCUGCUUCCUGCCUCACCCCACUCCCUCUCUGUUACCAGUAGUGAUCACCAUGUUCGGAAGCCAAGUGAGCAACACCACCCUGCCAGCUGCUACUGGAAGUCCAAGUUCAAAAUGGCUGCAGUUCUAAUACUCAUUCCCCUAGGCUGCAAUCCUUUACUCACUUAACUGGGUUGUAUAAACACCGACAACUGGGAAACACUGGCCUACGAGUGCUCCGAUUGGAGAACAGUCUUUAACAAACGUGUCAUGGACUUUGAAGACGCUCAAACUCAGGAUGAAAGGGAGAAAUGUGCUAAGAGGAAGGCAUGUUUGGCAAACCCUCACCCUGAUCAACUCCUGCCUGGAAACAAAUGUCCACACUGUGGAAGGAUGUGUGGAUCCAGAAUUGGCCUCCACAGUAACUUACGGACUCACUGUUAAGACCGUGUUCAUGGAAGGAUGUGGGGUUUGCCCAUUCCGUGUGAUUAUGUUUGUACGGUGUGUGUGUGUAAAUGGUUAAUGUAGAAAAAGUUGAGCAUAGUGGUUGUGACAGUUAGAGAGAGAGACAGGGAUAGAACUGAGAGAGAAGAGUAUGACAGUGUGAGAUAGUGCCACAUCUAGUUAAGGGCGCGCAUUUGAGAAACCGUUCAGAACAUAUUUAAAAUUUGUUUGUUCUUCAAUAAACUUUAAUCUUCGUUGUUGACUUUACAACCUGACUGAGACACAGCAUUUCACCAGAAGAAACCUGGUUGGUGGCAGCGGAAGAAUAAAGCAGUGGUGUACAGGUCAAUAGUCCAUGAAAUGACCAGGGGCUCUGUAUGAACGCCACAAAGACAAUCUUACUUGGCUACGAGUGAUCGUCAAAGAAGAAGAAGAUUAACUGGAUGAUGAUGAUGAUAUUUAAUUUAUGAAUUGCUCGCAUGAGACAUCCCAAACUGGAUGUUAUCCCAAGUGAAACCAACAUAACUUCUGAGUCGACAUGUCUAGGAUUGCAUGGUUAGUGGGCAAAUGCAUGAAAUGUAUAUUUACCUGGCUGAGUAGGGAUUUGAACCCUGGUUUCCCAGGUCCUAGUCCAACACUCUAACCACUAACACCACACUGGCUAAUACAUACCCACACCCCAUAGUCAUUGGUGUAUGUUCCAAACUCUUGCUAUUCGGCUAAGUAGAUAUCAUUCUAUUUUUCUCUCUUAUCCCCCUUUUACUUGCUCCCUUCCCAACCCCUGUGUACAUUCCUGAUCUUUUGAAGAAUAUGGUUUCAAAAAGCUUUUAUUUGAAAGGUGAAUUAAGCCAGCUGAAAUAUCAAUUCAGCUCAUCAAACCUUUUCCUUGUUCGGAUAAAAGCUGUGUGUAUGAUCUUUAAAUGUUACAGCUAUUGUCGAACACAAAGAGAAAAGUAUGAGAGAGUUUCUUCUUUUGUUCCCGAUGUCUAUUUGUCAGUGGCUUUAAGAACAGACAAUGGCUUAAUUUAGGUUGGAUUUGGCAGCUGCUGCCUUUUGGGAAAGCCCUUAGAACAAAUAGGUGUGCAAAAUGCAAAAAAAUGUGACAAGAAAGCAGUUUGCAUUUUAACUCCUUGUUCUCCUAGCUGUCAUACGUUUCCAUUUUUGUAAGGGAAAUUCCCUUAUUCUGAAUAGGAUUCCUCGCAAGAAAAGGGAAAAGUUGACAGCUAUGAAGAUGCCCUGAAUCAAUUUCAUGGUGAAUCUUGAGGAAGGUUUGCAGACUGGCUUGGAACCAUGUGGGGCCACUUCCAGGCUUACAACCAGGCUGUGUUCACAAGGGAGUGCCAUUUUUGUGAUUGAACACCUCCACAUGGAUGGAAGUAGCAGAUUUUGUCAGCUGAGCAAUACAGAAAAAAUAUCAGCCACAAUAUGGAAACCUGAGCAGUCAUGAUGGUCAGGUCCAAAGAUGCAAACCUUGAAUAUGGCAUGUAAAAAGAUUGCAGAAACAACAUGCAGUUGAUGGGAGGUAUUUGCCAUCGGAAUAGAGCCUUACUGCGAAGACUGUGAGUUGGUCAGCAUGCACUGAUCUACACACAUAAAACAAAUUUACACAUAGGCAUCUUCCAAAAACCCAUCGUGUUUAUGGAAGACAAUCUUACUCGGCUACGAGUGAUCGCCAGAGAAGAAAGACAUAGGCUCAGUUUGUAGAUAUGUGCAAAGAAACCAUAUAUUAUAAAGACACCACAGUCUCCACUGUUACUAUGCCAGCAUGGUGUAGUGGUUAAGAGCGGUGGACUCAUAAUCAGGUGAACCGGGUUCGCUUCCCUGCUCCUCCACAUGCAACUGCUGGGUGAUCUUGGGCUAGUCAUACUUCUUUAAAGUCUCUCAGCCCCCCUCACCUCACAGAGUGUUUGUUGUGGGGGAGGAAAGGAAAAGAGAUUGUUGGCCACUUUGAGACUUCUUAAGGGAAGUGAAAGGCAGGAUAUCAAGUCCAAACUCUUCUCUCCUUCUUCUUCCUCCUCCUCCUCCUUCUCUUCUUCUUCUCCUUCUCCUUCUCCUCUCAUUCCAAGGAAACUGAAUCCUGCAUAAGCACCUGGAAUGCCUGGGAUCUUGUGCCACUUGGAGACAGAGGUGACAUGCAACUGUAUGAAUAACAUCAUAUCUAGGCCUGCCUUUAAUUUCUGUAUAUGUGGAAAAAGUGAAAAAGACUAUCUAUGGGAACUCUUUUAAAACUUUUUAAAGUUAGAUCCUGAUUCUUAACAGAUACUGUUUGUAUCUUUCCUGUGAUAAAGCCCACUACUAUGAGCAUUUCCUACAUUUUUAUCCUUCUCAAUAUAGCCAUGAACUCCCAAAUUGUUGCUAAUUUCCCAAGAACAGAUCAUAGAUAUAAAAGCCAAUCAAAUCCAAAACUAGCACGGGGGAUGCCUCUCGUUUGUUAGCAAUACAAAACAGC